GUUUGGGGUGCUCCACACUUGGGGCUGAGAUCAUACCCACUGAAUCUGAACCGGGUAAUGCCGGCGUAGAGAACAAAAAA
rnacentral:ncRNA from 1 species